UGGGGAGGGGACCUCGGCGGGCGGGCGGGCCGCCCCGCAGGCCUGAGACUCUGUCCCGGGAAGGGAGUGCGGGGUCCGCGGGCCGCUGGACGGUGUUUCAUUUAGGGGGCGCGGGACGAGCUGGGGAGCCCGCACUGGGGACCCUGUGCCGCCUUCCCUUGGUCGAGCGUGGGGCGGGGACGGCAGUGACUCCCAGCUGCCGCCUCCCCUCCAGGUGGUCGACUGCCCUUCUCAGCGUCGAAAGUCAAGUUCAGGUCCGGGUCUGCACCCCAGUCGCGGAAAGGAGGGAGAACUCAGACCCCGCUCAGCCCGCGCCCCGCAGUUGUGCCCCGCUCCAAACCGGGGAACAGACCGCGGUCCUGAACGCGCCCGCCUCCUGCCUUGGCGCCAGGGUCGGCUGUGGGCUGCUGCCUAAGGACAGCUUCCUGGCCUUCUCGUCCAAGUAGACAAGGGAAGUGGGGACAGAAGGACAAAGUUCAGUGGCACAGAGACCGUGUUCUGCUUUGGGGGCCGUGGUGGCGAGAAGGGUUUUUUGUUUUUUUGGUUUUUUUCUGAGACCGGGUCUCGCUGUGUAGUCCAGGCUGACAGAGAACUCAUUGUGAUCCUCCUGCCUCAGCCUCCCAAAUGCUGGAAUCACAGGUGUGCGCCACCAGGCCUGGCUUAGUGGCCUUUGAAGGAGAUCGAACUUGGGACCUUGCGCUUUCAAGGCAGGCACCGGAACCAGUGAGCUAAAUCCCUGGCCCUGGACUAUAAAUUCUUUGAGUGCAUUGGUGUGUCUUACUCAUCUUCCUGUGUCCUACUGCUCUUUAUGUGAAGGGGCACAGAAUUGCUACUGGACUUCGUCACAGGAACUCUGAUUUGGUUUAGUGCUACAAUUAGAGCAAAGGUUCAGGGUGACAUGGAUACCUGGUUAGUCUGAAGAAGACAAGGGGUGUGACUGGAGAAGCUCAGGGAAGCUACAUCAAAACAGGAACCACAGUUUUCUUUAGGAAACGGAAAUCUUUCAUUUAUAUUGUAAAUGUAAAUGUACUUCUUUUUUUUUUGGUACCGGGGAUCAAACUCCAGACCUUGCACUUUUGAGGCAAGCGGCGGAACCACUGAGCUAAAUCCUGGCCCAUGUACUUCUGAAUUGUGUAAAUAUUUGAAGAGUGGAUGUUAUGUUUUGUUUCUUUCAUUUUUUGUUGGGGUUUAAGGUACAUACAAUGAAGUAUACAUUUUGCUGUU